rnacentral:pre_miRNA from 1 species
AAAAAGACAAACCCUGAUUUCCAUGUCCAACGUUUGACCGUCCGUCUUAUUUGAAAAAAUUAUGAAAAAAAAUAAAAAGAUAAGUCAUGCAUAAAGUAUUAAUCAUGUUUUAUCAUCUAACAACAAUAAAAAUAUUAAUUAUAAAAAAAUUUCAUAUAAGACGGACAGUCAAACGUUGGCACGGGAACCCACGGUUUGUCUUUUU